AGAAAGCCUCUGAGCUAGCCAUUCCUUCAGAUAUCUUUUACUUACUGUUUGACACAGAGUUGUGAUAAUUUUCCCAGGCUAGCCUCGAACUCUACUCCAUAGCCUUGACUUUAUAAUCUUUCUUCCUAAACCUCUGAAGUAGUUAGGUUUACAGGCUUGAGCCAUUAGGUUUUGCUCCAAAUCCUGCCCUUUUAGGAGGGCUGGAUCAUAUUUCCUUGUAUGUCUAUGCCGCAUUCUGUUACCCAAUCAUCUGUCAUCGGACUCUUGGUCUGCUUCAUAUUUGAACUAUUGUCAGAAGCAAGUCUGGAUGUGCUUAAAAUGGAGACCUGAUGCCCCUGACUCCCGUGAGGUAGACAAGUUGAAUAGACUGUGUGAGUGAGCUUGGUGUGCGAACGUGCCUGAGCAUCUGUCUUUCUCAGUUGAUGUAAAUAGUUGGAGUGUGAAAGCCCUGUUUUAUAUCUGAAGAAAUUCUCCUUACCCAUUGUGCUGUCAGAGACUUGAUGUAAAGGUAAACAGGAGGCGCAUGCUUGACGUAGGACAGGCCAUGUUCAGCUCUGGGUCAGGUUUCCCACUGGGGCCUCCUCCGAGUCAAUCCUCCUCCUGGAUCAUCAGCUUGCUUCAGGAUGCUGCCCGGGUGUGCUGAGCACCAACACGCGAAUUUCACAUCCCCAGCCCAGUGGCAUCGCCACCGUCUCUUGCUUAUGUGAUUCUGGCCAAGACAUUUUAACGUCCUCCAUUUUAAGAAGGUUUGAGGGGUGUAUAAUAAGUGUAACAUACCAAAAUGUAUUGCCCAGUACCUGGCUUAUGGUAUAUGUUCUCUUUUCCUUCCUUGCCAGGAAAGGCCUUGUUCAAUUACUACAGGGGCCUCCACCCGGCCUACCACAGUGCCUGGCACACAGAGGCAGCUGCCGGCUGAAUGCUUAUUAACUUUAUCCUGCACAACACUAAGCAGGGCAAAGACUGUUCUGUGGCAGCUCCUUCCAAAGAGGUUUUAAGCAAACACAACACCCCUGGAAUAUGCGCAGGGCUUGGGAGGGGAGGUACUUUGAAGAGAGGCUUGUUUGGAUGGGUAAAUUCUGGCUUUUUUUUUUUUUUAAGAAAACCCUAACGUUGGCCUCAUUACUUUUGAGGCAGUCAUUCACUGCCUCUUUGUCUGUGUGUAGAGUGCUCUUAAGAAAUUACUGGCUAGACCUUUAAAAAUAGGCCAGUUGUCAGAUGUCUUGGCAAGAGGAUGUAUCCCAGUGGUGUUAGGAUUUUUCCUGAAGUUAAACAUCUCUCCUUGGAGAGGGUUGUUUUUAUCAUCAGCUGCUAAAAAUUCUCAGGAGGUCACAGAACAAACUCAGUUCCAAGGGAAGGUCAUGGAAUCUACUAGAUUUAAGUAAAGGGUUAGUGGGGGACAGGGCUUGAGUUUUGUUGGAGGGCCACUGAAUGGCUGUGGGUGAGAAAAAGAGAUGUUGAAGACAUUCUCAUGGUUCUGCGCCAUCACAGAGUCCCCAUCCUCCUGGAUUUGGUUUGAGCAAGGAAAGUCAUACUGGCCUCUGUAGGUAGCUUGUGGCUCUGACAGGUGAACAGGAUUGUUGAUGGGAGUCAAAGGACACGCAGUUUGAUCAUGAAGAUCGUUCCAUCUGUGUCAGAGCCCCGCCUUGGAUUAGCAAGCAGCAGUAGCACAUCUGAGGGUCUCAGCAGCCCUGUGGCCAUAGCUGCCCUUAGGAUGCUGUUAGGAUGAACACCAUUAGCAUCAAGUAGGACCAGCCAGUUCAUGCAUGGUUGACAUAAUGAUGGAGAGUUUCCCUUUUCUCCACCUGGCCCACAUUACCAGAUAACGCUAAGAGCAGCACAAUUCAGGUGACACUUCUAAACAAGAGAGUGUUCCACACUGGGCCUCGGAGACACUCUGGAGAGCAGUUCCCGGGAAUGCUGUCUAUUUCAGCUUUGGAUUUCUAGAACUAGCUCGGCAACUGUCACAUGUAGGGGGCUGUGGUGGAAAGGGCCUGUGCCAGCAUCCCAGAACUCUCAAGGGCUGUAGGGAUCUUCUGUCACAAUAUUAUCACUGGCCAGGUUUGUUACUUUGGAGGAACUUAACAUCAGAAGUGUGACCCAUUAGGAACCUUGAGCCCUUUCUUUUCACCUUUAUUUGAACUUGUACCCAAGACUAGCUAUUGGCUUCCAGUGUUUGUAUGAAAACAGAACAAAAAGAAAAGAAACCCUGGGGUCUUUGGGGGCUUUCUCCAGGUUCAUUCAUUUGUUUUGUUAAAAACAAGGAUCAUAAGCUGGGAGAUGGCUCGGUUGGUAAGAGUGUUUGCCACAAAAGCAUGAGGACCUGGGCUGGAUCCUCAGCCCCCAACGUAAAAAGCCACAUGUGGCAGGCACGUGCCCCUGCUGACUGACCAGCCUGGCUCAAGGAGACUUGGGCUGGGAGAUAGCUUAGAGUUUAAGAACACAGGACCCAGGUUCAGCUCCCAGCAUUUGCAUCCUGUGACUUACAGCUAACUAUAGCUCCAGCUCCAGGAGGACCGGAUACCUCUGGCCUCCAUGGCACCUUCACUCCAUGUAUGCAUCUAGACACACACAUACACAAUUUAAAAACAAUAAAAAUAAAUCUUGAGGAAAGUAACAAGGUGGAAAGUGAUUGGGGAAGAGACCUGACACUGACCUCUGACCUCCAUGACUGAGUACUGACCUCUGACCUUCAUGACUACUGACCUCUGACCUCCAUAAGUACCUGCACACAUGCAUCUCACCCACUUACACAAGUGCACACACAUAAUAUCACACAGUGUCCAAUUAAAGCAGAUUUAAUGUGCUAGUUGAAAAUAAAUACAGAGUGCAGCUUCACAAGUCAGUCAGUAAAGGAGACACCCCUGAGCCUGACAACCUGAGUUGGAUCCCCUGAGUCCAUGCAGGAGAAGGAAAGAAAGAACAAAUUGCCCUCUGCGGACGCCCACACAGGUACAUACACAUAUAAAAUAAAUGUUAAGAAGUUAUUAAGAACUCUUUAAAAAAUCUACUCUCCAUGGAUGCCUCUUAUAUGUUACUUAUGCCUUAUAAGAUGUGAAUGGCUAAUACAUACC
rnacentral:lncRNA from 1 species